rnacentral:rRNA from 1 species
GAGAGAUCGUAUCCUUCAGUUCGGCUGGAUCGGAGACAGGUGCUGCAUGGCUGUCGUCAGCUCGUGUCGUGAGAUGUUGGGUUAAGUCCCGCAACGAGCGCAACCCUCGCCCUUAGUUGCCAGCAUUCAGUUGGGCACUCUAAGGGGACUGCCGGUGAUAAGCCGAGAGGAAGGUGGGGAUGACGUCAAGUCCUCAUGGCCCUUACGGGCUGGGCUACACACGUGCUACAAUGGUGGUGACAGUGGGCAGCGAGACCGCGAGGUCGAGCUAAUCUCCAAAAGCCAUCUCAGUUCGGAUUGCACUCUGCAACUCGAGUGCAUGAAGUUGGAAUCGCUAGUAAUCGCAGAUC